rnacentral:rRNA from 1 species
GUGGGGAAUAUUGGACAAUGGGCGAAAGCCUGAUCCAGCCAUGCCGCGUGUGUGAAGAAGGUCUUCGGAUUGUAAAGCACUUUAAGUUGGGAGGAAGGGCAGUAAGUUAAUACCUUGCUGUUUUGACGUUACCGACAGAAUAAGCACCGGCUAACUUCGUGCCAGCAGCCGCGGUAAUACGAAGGGUGCAAGCGUUAAUCGGAAUUACUGGGCGUAAAGCGCACGUAGGUGGUUUUGUAAGUUGGAGGUGAAAUCCCCGGGCUCAACCUGGGAACUGCCUCCAAAACUGCAUGACUAGAGUACGGUAGAGGGUAGUGGAAUUUCCUGUGUAGCGGUGAAAUGCGUAGAUAUAGGAAGGAACACCAGUGGCGAGGGCGACUACCUGGACUGAUACUGACACUGAGGUGUGAAAGCGUGGGGAGUAAACAGGAUUAGAAACCCUGGUAGUCC